rnacentral:lncRNA from 1 species
AUUUUUUUCAUGGCUAUUUUAUUUUUGCGAUUUUGGCAUAUCUAACUUUAAAAAAAAACUAUAAUUAAAUGAGUGACUACUUUAACCACCAAAAUGUUAUAUUCAUUGUAAUAUACGUAUUAUUGACAUGUUUAACCCUACUGCAUGAUGCCUCCAGCCAUCGACAACCACAACCUCCGGCCAUCGACCACCAAUACCUCCAACCAUCAGCUGCCACUGCCACCACCACCAUAUUUGGCCACCGCCCCCACAACCACGACCACCUCUGACACCACGAGCCACCAUCGCCUCCAGCCACCGGUCACCACCGCCUACGGCCAACAACCACCUCUAGCCAUCACCCACCAUUAUCACCCAAACACCACAACACUAAAAUGGUAAUAUUUUAUACCCAUAAUCCUGUUUUUCUAAUUUUUUAAUUAAUAUGUUAUAAUCUUCAUACCCUUUUUCUUGUUUUGGUUAGUUGGUAAAUUGGUCCUAUAUUUUUUGGAUUUGAAGAAUAAGGUUGCGAAAAUAGAGUUUUAGAGACUAUCAUUUGCUUUCUGACUCUCCAACAGCCCAGCGUGCAGAAUAUCUGAAACAUUUUAAUUUUUUGGAUAUUUAACUACGGAACUAAGUUAGAGAAUCUCCAACCCCAUUUUAUUUUAAAUUCAAAACUUUAUUUUAGAGUAACAUUUGCUCCAACUAUAUCUUAUAUCUUGCUAAUAAAUUGAGUAAAUUAUAGAGUUGCUCUAUAUUUAGAGUAAUAUUAUUUUCUACUCUAUUUUUAUACACUACCUCUAUUUUAGAGUAAGAAAUCAAAUAAUACAUUAAAGCAAAACAAUAUUUUAUUUUAAAGUUACUACAUUUUAGAAAAAAACUAGGGAUGGAUCCGCACGUGCAUGGUUGAUUAAAAAACCUAAAUUUAUCAUAAAGUUUGUAAUAUUCGGAUCGACAUGAUAAGAGACCCCGAUCGAGUGUGAACCGAAUUAAUGAUAAGUUAGAAAUCAAUUAAAUUCAUGAACUAUCAUAUCACAUAAAAACAAAAAAAAUAUUAAAACUUUUGAAUAAAAUAACAUAAAUAUAAAUGUCAAAAGAGUCAAACCCGUUCACUAUGCAUGUCUUGCAACAAAUUGAAUUAUUUUAGCCUAUCCAUAUGAAUAAAUAAUAUGUCUUCUACUAGCAUGUUACCCAUAAUUCCCUUCUGUAUAUUAUUAGAAAUAGUUAAGAUAAUAAAUUUUAUUUUCUAAAUUACCCGUUCUCUUUCAGUAUCCGUUAUUUCUUGUUCCAACAUUUGAAAUAUCUAAGUAAUUUGAAACUUAUUUUUGCUAUUUAAAUUUCAUAUUCAUGUAUCAUACCCGUCAUUUGAUAUGUGGAAGUUGAAAUUGAAUUUAAGUUUCCAAUUUUUUUAUAUCGUCUUCUUUUUUAUGAGAAAUAGUUUAGACAAAUAUCUUUUUUGAAUUACCCGUUUCCUUUUUGUACCCAUUCUUUUCCCUCUAAAAUAAGACCAUAUAUUUCUUUUAUAUAAAUGGGGUUGUUAGAAUAAAACCAUUAAACUAAAUUAAAAAAUGAGAAUUUGUUAGAAAUACCCCUUUUGAGCUCUUAAAAAGUUAAAUAUGUUUUUUUUUUGUGGAAGAGGGGAGACCAGGGUCUCCCUACUUUAUUAAAAAAUAAAAUAACAAACUACAACCGAACAUGUCGGGGAAGCGAAGUCCCACAAGCAUCCUCAUCCAAAGUAAAAGCAAUACAAUCCGGACAAUGAUCUAAAAACCGAAAACCUAAAGGAAGAGAAAACGCAUAGUUCGCCAAUCCAUCCACAAGACGAUUAGCCUCCCUAUACACAUGAGAAAUUUGGACUUUCCAGUCCUUUGAGAGUAAGCCAUAGCACAGUCGUACUAGGAAAGACAGGGGGUGAGUAUCACUAAUCCCUGUCGUGAGAAAUCCAACCACCGCCUCGGAAUCCACCUCCAACUCCAAACGCGGUAUUCUCCGCUCCCACGCAAUAUAGAGACCAUAGUAUACUCCCCAUAAUUCUGCAAGCGGAGCCGAACAAAAGCCAAUAUUAAACGUAAACCCAUGAAUCCAGCGGCCCUCACCAUCUCGUAAAACUCCCCCUGCGGUAGCUAACCCCGGGUUGCCUCGAGAUGCUCCGUCCGUGUUCAGUUUCACCCAACCGUCCAUCGGUUUCCCCCAAGCAAUCUGUUUUUCCACCCUUAUGGGCAAAGGUUGUCUCGCACACAUCUCCGAAUGGCACACCAUACUCGCUUGAUCUUUCACAAACUUAACCCGAUCCCGACACAUCCAUAAAUCCCCAAAAACGUUUCCACACCGCCAUUUCCAAGCCCACCAAAUCACCAUUCCAAACAAGGUCGCCCAAGGGACCCCAAACCGCACAGCGACACUCCCUGUAUUAUCAUAUACCCAUUUGAACAACGACUGACUAUAAAAACCAACUCUUUGUCCCGGUAAAAGAAUAUGAUUCCAAACGCCCUCAAUUGCCGGACAAUCCCUUAACACGUGCAAAAUUGUUUCCUCUUCUCCUUUACACACUUGACACACACUUGAAUCACUAAGGUGCCUUCUUUGUCUUUCCCAAUUUGUCAUUAUCACUUGAUGAACGACCAGCCAAAUGAAGACUCUAACUCGCUCUGGUACCCGCAGACGCCAUAUCCUUCCGAAGAAUCCUUCCAUGUUCGGUUUCGGCACAGAAUCACUGGACAAAUAAGAGUAAGCCGACUUCACCGAGAACCCAGAACUCUCACUCCAAGCCACCCUAUCCUUCGCACCAGUAACAGAAUCAACCACCACCGCCAAGAGACGGAGCUUAUCGAGAUUGGAGAUAAACGGCUCAAUGCGCUGCCAAUCCCAACCUACCCCGUCAAUCCAAAAAUCCUGAACAAUCCUGUUUUCAUCAUCCGACGGAACAUCCCUUAUAUUGCACUUCACUAAAGGUUGUGUCCCAAGCCAAUGAUCCGUCCAAAACUUGAUUGACAGACCAUCUCCUAGCACCCAUUUCAAACCCGGAAACACUACAUCCCGAAGACCUUUCCCCACACUUCUCCAUGUCGAAGACCAGUUACUCUUCGCCCUUGUCCAGCUCUGGUCCUGAUAAUUUCCUAUCUUAUACUUGCUACGAACAACUCGUGCCCACAGACUCGUAUUAUCCUGAACGACCCUCCAACCAAUCUUACUAAUAAGAGCUUGAUUCAUAGGCUCUGCAGCCCUAACACCCAAUCCGCCAAACUCUUUGGGGCAACAAAGCUUCUCCUACGACACCAAAUGCUGUUUUCUAUGUUCAGUAGUACUUCCCCACAGAAAAUUCCGAGAGACCCUAUCCAAUCCAGCCAAAGUCGACUUCGGGAGCAAUAUAGUGCUCAUAGUAUGAACUGGAAUAAAAGUAAAGACUGAUUUCGUCAACGUUAUCCUCCCAGCAAGGCUCAUCGUACGACCUUUCCAGCCCGCUAGCCUGGAAGAUACUCGCUCCAACACUGCCCCAAACGUAUUCUUGUUAAUCCGUUUAUGAAGAAUAGGCAUGCCAAGAUAUUUACCAAGAUCUCUCGUCCCCGCAAUGCCACUCUCCUCACUUAUCAACUUUCGUAAAUCCCGGUGAACAUUGUCUGAGAAAAAGAUUUUGGAUUUCUCAAGACUGACUUUCUGCCCCGAGGCCACACAAAACUUUUCCAACACUCCUCUUACCACCUUAACUUGAGCAACCGAAGCUUCUGCAAAUAAGAUAAGGUCAUCCGCAAAACAAAUAUGAGACAACUUCGGACCGCCUCUUGAUAAGCUAAUGGGCUUCCACUGCUUUAAAUCAAUGGACCUCUCAAUUAAAUGACACAGUCUCUCCAUGCAAAGCACAAACAGGUAAGGUGACAGUGGGUCUCCUUGGCGGAUUCCCCUCGCUGGUCGGAACGCUUCCGUCUUCUCACCAUUCCAUAAAACGUGCAUAGAUGGACCUGUCACGCAAGACAUAAUCCAUUGGACCCAAUUAUCCGAGAGUCGUGCAGCUCUCAAAGAAUCUUCAAGAAAAUCCCAUCGUAUUCUGUCGUAUGCCUUUUCCAAAUCCAACUUAAGCAGCAUCCAACCUUUUUUCCCUUUCUUACGACGCAUGGAGUGCACGGCUUCUUGAACCACCACAAUGUUGUCAGUGCUUAGUCUCCCCGAAAUGAAGCUCGAUUGUGCUGGGCUUAUCAACAUUGGCAUAAUUUCCUUCAACCUCAUCACCAUAGUCUUUGUUAUUGUCUUAAACAAAACGUUACAAAGACUAAUGGGCCAAAAUUGAGCCACCCUUUCCGGUUUGGCCACCUUAGCAAUAAGAACGACUAAAGCAUCAUUCAUCUUCUCAGGUAGCACCCCAGUCUCGAAGAACUUCAAAGCAAAUGACACCACAGAAGUUCCAACGACAUCCCAGCACUCUUGGUAAAAAACCGGUUGAAACCCGUCUGGACCUGGAGCCUUGUAUUUACCCAUACUUCUUACUGCUCCUUCAAUCUCAUGCCCCGAGAACGGCUUCGCGAGCAAAGCCACAUGCUCAUGCGAAAGAUGCGUAAAACCAUCCAAAGGAAGCUUCGGAACACUCUGGUCUACAUCUUCCAUCGAGUACAACCGCUUGUAGUAACUAACGGCUAUCUCUUCCAGUUUUAUAGUAUCCGAUAUCCAUCUCCCAUCGUCACCUCUUAACAUCUCAAUACGGUUACAUAUGUAAAUCUUCGAAUUUAAUUGUCCACUUUUUUGGCAACAAAAUUAAU